GAAUCCCUUGCAUCACAUGCUAUUUUAUUUAAAUAAUUUCCUACAAAUUUUCCAAGAUCCAGAUCCCUACUCCCAGCUUUUUGAGGGUAUAUCUCAUUGGAGAUCACCCUAAGACUCCCGCUGACCAGCAUUGUACGAUAACAGCACGGUUUAGACUGGGCUUCAGAACGCUUAGGGUGUGGUAACUGGACAAUAAAGCGGCUACUGUGAACUCAGACGCUGCCGUGAGCAGCCACCUGAGGUCCACCCGGAAGUGCAGAACACGCCAGCGCCCCAGGGUUUCCCUCACACACACAGACGUGCAUGGAACGGAGGUUCAGAAUAAUUUCCUUCCUCUUUGUGGACUGCUACGAGUUCAGGAAAGCGCACUCCAAGACUGAAAUAAACCAUGCUGCUCAAAGUUUGCUGCCUCCAACUUCGAGCUGAAACGCCCGGGGUUCGUCCUUUCCCCGCGAUGGCAAAGUGCUUUGGAUCUGGGGGCGCCGCUUCUCCAGUUCAUACCUGGGUGGUCUGCAAGGCUUUGCUGGGUUCAAGAAGGAAAAGACAGAAGUGGGCGCUGGGGGAGCUUCUCUGGUGGAGAACGAUCGCUCCUACAGGCGGAGUCUUGCUAAGUGGCUCAGUGGCCCAGGCUGGGCUUGAACUUGCGACCCUCCUGCCUCAGCCUCCCAGACCACACCAUCAUGCCCAUCCAUGUCCGCCACGGUCUAACGAUGUGACCUUCAGCAAGCUUCUCCGUGAGGCGGAAAUUCAGCCCUCCCUCCUCGCUGCUCAGCAUGGCGUGAUUCCCCAGGCAAGCUUGCUCCACGGGAUGUGUUCUAGCCCGGCCCAACUCAGACGCGCACAGCUGGGUGUCCGCCGACCGGGUGGGCGAGAAGAGGGAGCAGCCCACGCCCUGCGGAGCGUCCUUCAGCCCGGAGGGAAUCCUGAUGUCUGCGAUGGCGCAGGAGGUCUCGCGAGAGGCCGGAAAAGCAGACGCUGCGGCCUCAUUUACCUGUGGCACUGACAGCACCGAAGGCUGUAACUCAAGACUGUGUAAGUCAAAACUAAAAUUCCGGUUGUAACCCAAGUUGUUUGUAUGUCAGGAGGUUGUUACUCGAGUGUCCACUGUAUGCUCUAGGAUGAGCAGGCCCUGGGGUCUGGGACGGCCCGGGGGAACAGUUGCUGGGUCAGGACUGGGGUUUGGGAUUUGCACG
rnacentral:lncRNA from 1 species